rnacentral:rRNA from 1 species
CAAUAGCGUAUAUUAAAGUUGUUGCAGUUAAAAGCUCGUAGUUGGAUUUCUGGUGGGAGCGAUAUGCCCGCGCCGCAAGGCGUGUGAGCUUGUUCGUCUCCGGCCAUCCUUGGGGAAAACGUGCCUGGCAUUAGGUUGUCGGGUUCGGGAUCCUCAUCGUUUACUGUGAAAAAUUAGAGUGUUUAAAGCAGGCUUAUGCCGUUGAAUACAUUAGCAUGGAAUAAUAAGAUAGGACUUUGGUGGUCUAUUUUGUUGGUUUGCACACCAAGGUAAUGAUUAAUAGGGAUAGUUGGGGGUAUUCGUAUUCAAUUGUCAGAGGUGAAAUUCUUGGAUUUAUGGAAGACGAACUACUGCGAAAGCAUUUACCAAGGAUGUUUUCAUUAAUCAAGAACGAAAGUUAGGGGAUCGAAGACGAUUAGAUACCAU